CGGUGCCUUCCCUGAACACAGGGCGGGUUAAACGGGAAGUCGGUGAGAGCCUCUGGCUCUAAAUCCGACGCUGCCCCCGCAACGGUGAUUGAGUAAACGACAGUCGAAACGCCACUGUGCUUUUGCAUGGGAAGGCGACUGUCGAGAGGUUGCCCCUCGCUCAUCAGCCCGGAGACCGGCCAGAAGGCA
rnacentral:ncRNA from 1 species